rnacentral:piRNA from 1 species
UCUCCAGUCUGUGGAGGUGACUGUCCUGC